rnacentral:sRNA from 1 species
GGAAGAGCCUUCCUCCCUCGAUGCUCCAUGUGUGUCCUCCCCAAAGUCACAUACUCAGUUGAAGAGGGCAAGAAGGAAGAGCGUCCUUUGGUCAAGGGUAUACUAGUAACUGUGCUCCUCUGCUAGAACCUCCAGAAAAGUCUCAAAAGGAUGUAAGGCACUCUCUGUGUGAAUACUGAACAUGUCCAGGAAACAUCUGUACAAAUAU